UACAGAGGGUGCGAGCGUUAAUCGGAAUUACUGGGCGUAAAGCGCGCGUAGGCGGCUUUGCAAGUCGGGUGUGAAAUCCCCGGGCUCAACCCGGGAACUGCGUCCGAUACUGGCAGGCUUGAAUCCGGGAGAGGGAUGCGGAAUUCCAGGUGUAGCGGUGAAAUGCGUAGAUAUCUGGAGGAACACCGGUGGCGAAGGCGGCAUCCUGGACCGGUAUUGACGCUGAGGCGCGAAAGCCAGGGGAGCAAACGGG
rnacentral:rRNA from 1 species